ensembl:misc_RNA 7SK 7SK RNA
GUCUGUGAGGGCAGUCUGACUGCUGCAUGUCACCCCACUGAUCGAUCAGUUGCCAGGGUUGAUCCAGCCGAUUUGACUGGCUAGAUGUGCAUCCCUUCCUCUCUCACAACUCCACGUGUGUCCCUCCCAAAGCUGUUGUCUCCCCUGAAGAAGAAAACCUUCCCCGAGCAGAAGAGGACCCGUCUUUCUUUGGUCCAGGAUCCCCUUGUAGUUACGCCUCCCUGAUAGAACCUCCAAACAAGUUCUCAAUUAAAGGUGUAAUUAUGCAGUGAGAAGAAGCAAACUGUCUCUCCAAUUGUCUACGAUUUGG